CAUCUAUCCCGAACCUUCCGCUUUACAAGCUGCAAGCACAGCCGUCCGAUUAUUCCACGCUGCUUGAAAUUCCACAUUACGACGCCGUUUGCUCUCAUCCAGCCGUUCAAAAUAUCUCCCACCCACUCAUUUCCAGCCGUUGGAUCGUCAACCGCCUACAAUAAAUACACCUUAUCGUUUCAUCUCUUCUUUGCAUCCAUUCAUUUCCGAAGCUGCCUCGAUCUGCUGGCUUCUGUCCUCUUUCUGCAGGCCAGAUUAUUUUCUUGUUUAUUCCAUCAGAUUCAUUUAGAUCAUGAGGCGACCUUCGUCGUGGUUACGGUUUUUCUGAGUUUUAUUAUGCCUGCUAUUUUUUCUCAAUUUGAUAGCUCUGUCCCUGGGUUUAUACCCUGGCUGCCGUUGUGAAACUUGCGUUUCUUAUGCGCUGCUGCGGCUGUGAAACGACGAGGUUUGACUGGAUCUGCAACCGUGCUGGACGGAUCGUUGAAGAAUCGCUUUUCCGUAAUUGAUUGGAAACAAUUUUUCUGGAUCUGGAAACACGAAGCAUCUUGUGAAGACACGAUCAUCAGACCGUGGAUAUUGACCGGUAUGGAGUCAUUGAGUUUUAUCCAUCAAUUAGUCGGUCUACGGGGCUCUGGUCGAGUGGCUCAAGGGAAGUGAUUUGUUUUGUGUCGUUUAUUCAUGCGUUCUUUCUGUCUGUAGACUCGGCUAAUUGUUGAGGUAUCAGACUGUAAAAAAAUGAAAAAUGAGUGAGUGAAGUGAGGUGAUAUGUGAAAAGUGAGGUGAGAUCUGGUUGUCUGCAUGACCUUUGCCAUGAUGGGUGCGCUCGCAUGGCAGGUCGCCCGUUAAUAAAAGUUUUCAUUUUUGGUUUUGAGGGGAGAUGGUACGGGAAUUUGCCCGGCUCUCCCCUCUGUGUGGUGUCCUAGUCUCUCUGAACUCUCCCUGCUCGUUUCUUGCCCAUAUUAUGCACGCAUACAAAGUAUAAAUAUAGUAGUCCAUUCACGCCAAAUUCGUUGCCUUGAAUGCGUCGCUAUAAAAAAAAGGGCUCGAUCAGGAUAAAAUCAUUUCCAAUAUUUGAGAGUGUACUUCGGGAACAAGGCUUCAAUAAACGUCCGAGCAUCCACUACAACAAGAGGUACAAGUUUGCAUUUUUUUUCAAUAUCUCAUCAUACUACACUUGGAAAUCUUUAACAUUCUCAAUUCUUAACUUAAUACUGCAACAAUUUUAUCAUUAACUAGGAAUUUGGUAUCUUUUACUUGGUUUAGUAUUUUCUAAUUACAAUUUACUGUUAGCAUUUUUCUGGUAACUAGCAAUGUUCUUUGGUAUGUAGGAAAUAAUCAAGUAACUCACGCAACGGCUGAUAGAUUGACGUGUAAUACACGUUCCCUUGCUUCUGCAGUUUUUAACUAUGGAAAUUUACGUGCGUCAAACUGGAAACGUUAACCUUACAUUUGUCAAUGAUUUUUAACAACACUAUCCUACAUAGUUAGUAAUUUGUGAUCACCAGUCAAAUCUAAUCACAGAGUUAUAUUAAAUGAUAACUAGUUACAUUAGCAAACUGUUAACGAACUAUAUGCAUAAUGUUUUGCAAUUUGCACUUCAACCUCUAUUGUUCAUUGUUUAACAUAUUCCGUAUCUGGUUACCUUUGCUCCCCUGUUGCGGGGCUCUAGUAUUGCUUAUGAUUAUUGAUGUAUGUUGGCUUAUCACUAUCAACCAUCUGUAUGGUUGAAGGAACUUGGCUUUCUGUAGUCUUUAGUUUAAAGCUAUAGCAUGGUUGUAAUAGAUCAGCUAUUCAGUAGAUGGUUGGUUGCUUAUUGUGGAGGUUCCGGUGUGAUACUUCUCCUGUCUGUCCCCUUGGAUGCUGGCUGUAUUCAUGAUGUGCUGCUGCUGUGGCGUCUAGUAUUUGGUUUUCCGCCACUUGUGACCUGGUGGUGGUGGUGGUGGUGGUGGUGGUGGUCUUUGUCUCUGUCCCCUUGGAUGCUGGCUGUAUAGACGAAGUGCUGCUGCCGUGUUGUUUGGCUUUGGUUUUCUGCGUGCUGCGAUCAGCUAAUGCUGGUGAUGUGUUUGUCGGUGGCGGUAUAUGUAUUGCUACUUAAGAGAAUUUUCUGAGGCCUAGUUGUGAUUGUUCUCAUUGCUGUCUUCUUCAGUUGCAUAUAAGCAUGUACGUCGUUCGUCUCUUCAAAUGUUGUUGCUGAUGAUUAUUGUCAAGUAAGGUGCAAGGAACCUGGGUUCUCUUUAUGUUACAAAGUAUACAUAGUAAUUUAUGGUAAUUAUGUUAUAUUAGUAGUACUCGGGAUGGUCUUUGUUGUUCAUCCUGUCUAUAUCGAUUGAUUCCUUCUUUGGGAGUUGUAUCCUUAAUAUCUGGAUUAAGGUUGCCCUCUUUAGUAAAAAUAAGGUUGGAUGUGCGUUUUAAAGUUGUUUGGAAUGUGUGAAGCGAUCUGGAGCAAGCGUUAUGAAUUAUAGUUAUUGAUUUUGUUUUGAAGUUAAA